CUUACUCAUUUGGACAUCUGUUAGUACAUCACAGAACACGUCAGUUAAGGUGGUUCUGUGUGUGGGAACAGCUAGCUGUUUAGCCUCAGUGAAGUGAAACUGGGUGAUGUGUAUACUAUUGUCUCCUCCCUCCCCCUUUUUAUGUAGGUUUGAAUUCUGAAGGGAAGAGAAGAUCCAGGAAAGUCGGUUUUCUGAAUUUCUGAUACCUGAAACAGAAAGCAGCAUGGUACAGUUUGACUGGAAAUGGUGUUGAGUGAAGUCACGACUACCACUUAUUUACCAAACCAUGCAGCCACUCCACUCCAGACAAACUGAACCUGCUAUUCAAGAGGAGCAGAGUCAGACACCUUUAAUACGUACGUCCAAAACAGGACGAGUAAGGAGCCAGGGACUGCAGCCACAGAGCCAGCCCACAUAAACAGAGCAUUACAACACCAGCACCCCCCUGCAGAUUGAAGAGCACACUUUCAUGCACGGGAAUGUGGAUUGGGGGUUAUUAAAUACUAUUAUUUGUUUUUGUUUUUGGUCUGCAAGCCAGCCGUGUUCCCCCAUCGAUACCUUUGCAGGUAGGGGGAUAGUUCUUUUUGUGUUCUGUCAAUAAACACAGACCUGCUAAUUGAGCAGUUCAUAAAGGUGCUGGGACCAGACGUGCAGAACUGGGUCAGCUGCCAUCGUCCCACCAGGCUGAAUGCAGCAGUCAGAUUGGCUGAAGGGUUUGAGGAUGCACCUCUUACCCCUCCAGUGGUUGCCAUUCCUGCUCCUGCCUCCAACAAGCCACAAUUGGCUGGACCACCACAGCGCUUCAUCCACACUACCCAUGGACCAACACUGCAACGUCACCACAUGGGCGGCCUCCCUCCAGCACAAUGGAGAUCAAGGGUGACCUGCAGUCGAGUAAGAGCAGAGCACCCCUUCCACCUGCAGUGGAACACGCAAGCUCUGUGGGUGCCCUUUCGCCCCACCUGUUACCAGUGACAGGAGGUCAGCCACCUUCGCCAGAAAUUGCCCGUCCACAAUGGAAUAUGACGUGACCGCCCAUUAUGUCCUGAUAGCACCAGACAGAUGGAUUGGUGGAACAUUCUAAUCAUACUUUAAAACAGAUGCCGAAGCGGUUUAUCAACCAAGAGCAGAAACAUUGGGUGAAACUCCUCCCCUACCUGAUGUUUGCUGUGAGAGAGGUGCCUCAGAGCGCGAUCGGGUUCUCUCCCUUUGAGCUGCUGUAUGGGGGACAACCAUGGGGUAUCCUCAAAAGAAGGCUGGGAGGAGCAAACAAAAACUUCUAAAAAUAUAGUCAAGUAUGUAAUUAUGUUAAGAGACCGUCUAGCAUUAGUUGGUCGUUUGGCACAGGAAAAUGUAAAACUCUCAGCAUCGCCAGGAGCAACAGUACAACUGUAACAGGGAGCAGGUUCGCUGGUUCCUGCACAAGUGUGUGUGUGUCUGUGAUUUAAAUCAGCUGCGACGUGCAGCCGGAGAUGCUGCACAGAGCUCAAAAAAACGUUGCGCAACAACUUCCCAGGUUUUGUUCAUAUAUGCAGCAUUGUCUGUAACAAAAGCAAUAAUUUCAUCAAAAGGAAUUUUGUAUUUCUGAACUGUUUCCACCACUGAUUGACUCACAGUUUUAAUGUUUACCAUCUCCAA